UACCGGUGCAAAUGUCAUUGGAAAAGCGGCCAAUUGUGUAGAAGGGAAACCCUAGAAGUAAGAGAUAUUUGUCAGUAGAAUGGCAUUGAAAAGUCUCCGGAUGCACAGAAAAUCCAACAAUGGGAGGUUCUACUAUAAGUUUUAGAAAUGCAAUGCGCAAAUGGAAACGUUUUCCGCGGAUCCAAUGAUAAUUUUAGGGCAUGGGGACAGCUAAGACUAAAGAAUCCACCUGCGGCACAUGCACAAUGGGUGAUAAUUGAGGCCUGACCCACAUACUUCCACCACGACGAUGAAAAACAAACCGCCGGCAUUCAUCUUCAUAAGAAUCACCUGCUGUGGAGCUCAAACUUACAGCGAGGGUGUCGCGAUCCACUGCGGGCCAAGCUGGAGUCCUCCUCCUCCUCCUCCUCCGCGAGAAGGGUAUCAUUGCCGGGGAUCAGGGUGUUGUUAACUUUCAACUCCGACAUUAGCAUCAAACUACUGGCACGUGCCGCACUAUAGAUGCCCACUAUGUAGCUGCUGAAGAAGAUGGCCACGAGGGCCAGAAGCUGCGAGGAACGACCGCCGGCAGACAUGAUAAUGACAAUCGGAUAUCGUAUGGAUCACUUUCGGUUUUCACUCGGGGAGCUGGAACUAUUGCGGCUGCAACGGAGCUGGAACGGAUUGGCUACCGAUCGAGAGAGAGACACAAUGGAGACUGAGCCGACGAGAUCCGAGUUUUAGGGGCAUAGUCGAAUGGGCCAGGCCAGUGGGCUGGUGGCCAGUGCUCAGGUGCUAAUUGGGAGAACCCGACAACACAACCCAUGCACCUUCGCCAGGGACGGCUGGAGUUCUCCAAAACUGCACUCUCAGACAUUACACUUCUUUCAUGAUAAUCCGCUCCUGCCCGAAGAUCGUGUGGGUCUUAUUUCGCCUGGUCGAGAGAGAAUGUGGAGCACUCACGCAUGGGAAGUGAUCGGCUUCUUGGUCCGUAUUGGCAUUAUUCGUUACCGAAAUUUACGCGUACCGCUUCUGGAUGACAACAAACCGAUUUUCUGGGCGAGGAAAGUGAUACAAAUGACUGGCACUGAUAUCCAAUUUGGCGGGUUUGCGCACGCGUGUAGCGCCGCAUGAUUCCCCGGAUGGAGUAAAAGAAAGUGUCUAGUGUUUGCUCUUCGCUCCGGUUUGUAAGUCUAGGUCUAGACUAGUAUUUUCUUUCCGCUCGAGCCAGUUUAAUAAAUGGCUAUAAAUAAAAUCGAAAACUUUGGGCCCAUUGUGAUCGGUCCGUUUACAGAUGAUGUAACGGUACAAUCUUGAUCAGUUUGGCGCGUGUUUUUGAGUCUUCGGCUAAGCGAUCUGCUUUGCUGCAUUUACUAGAACGCGGCACGACGCCAAUUAGCAGGACAUCACUAAUCGCCGACUAUGCGGACACUAAUUAAUGUUUAAUCCCAAAAGGAAGGUAAAAGUGGAUUGGCCUUGAUUGUUUUCCAGCGCGAAGCGUAGAAAGUUGCAGGUGAUCCGCCGAGUUGCCAACUGUCGAUCGAUUUUUGUUAUUUAAAGUCAUGUUGUGGCCCUGUUAACCAAGACAGUUACUUUUAUGCAAAAAUUUGGGAAGACAAAUUUAAAAAAUCUUGGUAAAAUGAAUUCUAAACCAA